rnacentral:lncRNA from 1 species
UUCAAAAUUUUAGUUUUCCUCUUAUCUAUCUUAAACCGCAUAACCAGUUCACCCUAAAACCGCAUAUGAGACCUAAUUUCUGAUGCUCGUUUGUGGUUCUCGCCAUAAGGGUGAAGUGAUAGAUGUUUCAUUAUCAAAUUAACUCACCAUCAUAUCCGAUUUGAACUAGGGGUUAACAGCUCUCAUCCAACCAUCUUCUUGGUUCGUAUUAACAAAUUUCGGCAACAUCUCUGUUUUGCAGGUUACCAUCAGAUUGGACCUGGAUCUGGUACAAACAAACAUCUUAGAGAGGAUGCAGAAAUUGCUAUGCAAGGAUUCAUCAAUUUUGCUCAAUAUACAUCUAGUAUACAUCUCGCAGGUUUUUGAUAAAAUGUCAGCGUUUGAACUCACCUAAAAAUUAAGCGCUAAAUCAUUCAAAAUCCAAGAGAAAUCACCAGAAAGAAUUACUAAAAAUUUAGAAGAAGAAUUAAAUAAGCCGUAUAACUAGGGGUCUGCACGGGCGAUGUGGGAACAUCAGCAUGGUAAGGCUUCAGAUCUUUUAAAAAGCACAAGAAAGGGGGACAAUACUCCAUAAAUUUAUGGCCAUUUUACUUUGGGGUAUGAUGACAAGUGGAGUUUUGAGAAGAUGAUCAGAUUGAAUUAACAACUUUACUUGGAUUACUUUGUUAUUUUGAAGUUGGAAAUAUAUGUCAAAGUACAACAUAAGAUAUUUAUUACAUUUAUGUUAUUGUGCUGGUGUAAUUGAGAUACUAUUCCAUAUUAAUAAAAAUUUUAG